rnacentral:lncRNA from 1 species
AGCACUCCUGCCUCUGCACUUACUGAUGAGGUCUUCUGAACAAAUGCUGAUUAUCCCAGUGAGGGAGGUCACCAAAUAAACCUAAACUUUUUUUUUUCCAGUCAUGUUAAUCCUGUCUACUCUAUUCUCAUUUUUUAGCACUUGAAGACAACAAACAGGUUGAGUUGGAAGAUAUGGUUUAUGGAUCCCUGAAGUUGUUGACAGAAAAAUAGCAGCAAUGUGUGCUCCACUGCUACUUCAAUACCAGACUUGACCAAGAUGGACAAGAAGACUGAUCACA